GCGCGCUAGUUGUUGGGACUUAAAAGCCCGCUAGCAAAGUGAAAGCAAGUCACAGUGUAACGCUGUGUAUUGGCGAGCUCCCGUCACUUGGUCUGUAAAGUCCGAGCCGGGCGCAUCGCCGGCCCGUCAUAAGCUCUCGUGGCUGUGGCGGAGCCUGAGCGUGCACGUUGAGACCCGAAAGAUGGUGAACUAUGCCUGGGCAGGAU
rnacentral:rRNA from 1 species